GGGGGGCAGCAGUGGGGAAUAUUGGACAAUGGGCGCAAGCCUGAUCCAGCAAUGCCGCGUGUGUGAAGAAGGCCUUAGGGUUGUAAAGCACUUUCAGCAAUGAAGAAGUUGUAUUGGCUAAUAUCCAAUAUAAUUGACGUUAGUUGCAGAAGAAGUACUGGCUAACUCUGUGCCAGCAGCCGCGGUAAUACAGAGAGUGCAAGCGUUAAUCGGAAUUAUUGGGCGGAAAGGGUGUGUAGGUUGUUGAUAAGAAAUCCCUGGGCUUAACCUAGGAAUUGCAUUUAAUACUUUUUAUCUAGAGUAUUGUAGGGGGAAGUGGAAUUUCCGGUGUAGCGGUGAAAUGCGUAGAUAUCGGAAGGAACACCAGUGGCGAAGGCGACUUCCUGGACAAAUACUGACACUGAGACACGAAAGCGUGGGGAGCAAACAGGAUUAGAUACCCUUGUAGUC
rnacentral:rRNA from 1 species